GGUAACUUGGCCGAGCGGUCUAAGGCGCCAGACUCAAGCUUUCAAAAGCUUCAUCACGUUCAACGGAUGAGCAUUCUGGUCUCGCAAGAGGCGUGAGUUCGAAUCUCACAGUUAUCA